AGCAGAUUCUGCAGGAGAGGGCAGGGCAGGAAGUGAGGUUCCUGCCCUGCCCUCUCCUGCAGAAUCUGCU